rnacentral:rRNA from 1 species
UUUUGGGAGCUUACUGGCUUCGAAGUCGUAGGAACUCCGAAGUUAAACGAGUUGGGGGCUAGAGCAAUCCCAGGAUGGGUGACCCACUGGGAAGUUGCUCGUGAGUUUCCAGAAA